GUUAAGGUCAGUCUGGUCUGAUAAGACGAUCGACGUGAACACUUAUUGCAAAAUUUUCGACUUUUCUUUCUGUUUCGUUAUUUCAAGAUGUUAAAACUAUUUCUAGGUUUGGGGAGUUUGGUCAUUUUAACUUGCUCUACAGAGUUGAAAGACGAUGACCUUGACAUCAGAGAAAUGGCACAGCAGAUAAAAGCACUUCAGACAGAAGUGAAGGAUUUGAAACAGAGAGUUAAGGUCUAUGAGAAAUCUGCUGGAAGGCCCAGGUCAAAGAAAUACUUGCUUUCAGACAAUCUGGAGAUGGGGCCUGUCGCUUUUUCUGCAUAUAUAUCCAACUACCAGAACGGGCUUGCGCCGCACAAAACACUCACGUUUGACAGCGCCAUAUUAAACGACUGGAAAUGGAUAUAACAAUCACACUGGUAUUUUCACAACCCCUGUCAGUGGUGUGUAUCUGGUGUCAUUUUUCAUUGCUGAUCGAGAUGUAAACCAGGUAUUUGUUCAGCUGACAGUAGACAAUACCAUUGUUUCUACAGCCUGUGCAGAAACCAUACAGAACCGACAUAUAGACCAAGGUGGCAAUGUAGUCCUUGUUCGGCUCACCAAGGGACAAAACAUGUGGGUUGAAGUCACAACCGGAAAUGCUCACAUAGAGAGUCACACUGCUUAUCGAUUCACCAGUUUUUCUGCGGUGCUUUUGUAUGAAGUGUAAAGUAUCAGGAAAAAAAGCAAAAUAAACAUGGAAAUGAAAGAAAUCUGUCUGUUGCCAACCAAGGUGAAAUAAGCAGGCCAUUGACACUUGUAUUUACAUCUGGGCCAUAACAUUGAGAUUAUCUUAUCACCAGUCCUACUACCACGUUAGCGAAUAAUAUUCAGUAUAAGGGAAAAGAAAUAUUUUAG
rnacentral:lncRNA from 1 species